rnacentral:rRNA from 1 species
AUGAACGCUGGCGGCGUGCCUAAUACAUGCCAGUCGAGCGAACGGACGAGAAGCUUGCUUCUCUGAUGUUAGCGGCGGACGGGUGAGUAACACGUGGAUAACCUACCUAUAAGACUGGGAUAACUUCGGGAAACCGGAGCUAAUACCGGAUAUAUUUUGAACCGCAUGGUUCAAAAGUGAAAGACGGUCUUGCUGUCACUUAUAGAUGGAUCCGCGCUGCAUUAGCUAGUUGGUAAGGUAACGGCUUACCAAGGCAACGAUGCAUAGCCGACCUGAGAGGGUGAUCGGCCACACUGGAACUGAGACACGGUCCAGACUCCUACGGGAGGCAGCAGUAGGGAAUCUUCCGCAAUGGGCGAAAGCCUGACGGAGCAACGCCGCGUGAGUGAUGAAGGUCUUCGGAUCGUAAAACUCUGUUAUUAGGGAAGAACAUAUGUGUAAGUAACUGUGCACAUCUUGACGGUACCUAAUCAGAAAGCCACGGCUAACUACGUG